CAGAGUUUGUUUUCCCUUAUUGUUGGAGGAAACAGUUCUUGUGCUGGGGAAGUCACUGCAGCAGGGGCUGGCAUCAUCUGAUCACUGUGUCGGAAAGCUGAGAGCAGCUGAUGCUAGUGCUUGUCUUUAUCAGCUGAUGUCCUCAGUUCAUGAAAUGGUUCCACUCAUGGUUCAGGAACUUCCUUCAUCUCAGAGGCCGGCAAUGAAAAGUCUGCAGAGCCAGUAUCCCAACUUGAGCCCAGUGCCAGGGCUGCUGUGAACUGGAGAGAUCUGGGACUCAGUUCAAGAGGCUUCAUUUAGGAGAAUUCUGUCCUUGAGCAAGACAGGGUCUUCGGGCUAUCCAGUCUCGUAUUUGUGGCCAUCCAGGCAGCAUUGGCCAUGGAUUCUCUCUCAUGGUAUGGGCCUCAAAUUACACCAGUCAUUGGUUGGCCACUCCCACAAAUUCUGUGCCUCCACUGCCCCAGCACAUCUUGCAGGCAGGAUAGGUUUUUGGUGGAAGGUUUUAUGGCUGGGUUGGUAUUCCAGUUCUACCACUGGAAGCCAAUUAAGGGCAUCCUUCAUCUCAAAGAACAUUUAAAAACUCUCAUUUUUAGGGUUGAGGAGAUGGCUCAGCAGUUAAGAGUUCAUACUGCUUUU